rnacentral:rRNA from 1 species
GACGAACGCUGGCGGCGUGCUUAACACAUGCAAGUCGAACGGAAAGGCCCUGCUUGCAGGGUGCUCGAGUGGCGAACGGGUGAGUAACACGUGGGUGAUCUGCCCCUUACUUUGGGAUAAGCCUGGGAAACUGGGUCUAAUACUGGAUAGGACCAUGCUGUAGGUGGUGUGGUGGAAAGAUUAGUUUCGGUAAGGGAUGAGCUCGCAGCCUAUCAGCUUGUUGGUGGGGUAAUGGCCUACCAAGGCGUCGACGGGUAGCCGGCCUGAGAGGGUGGACGGCCACAUUGGGACUGAGAUACGGCCCAGACUCCUACGGGAGGCAGCAGUGGGGAAUAUUGCACAAUGGGCGCAAGCCUGAUGCAGCGACGCCGCGUGGGGGAUGACGGCCUUCGGGUUGUAAACUCCUUUCAGCCAUGACGAAGCCCUUGUGGUGACGGUAGUGGUAGAAGAAGCACCGGCUAACUACGUG